UAGCAGAGUGGUUAAGUGUUCAGCUACUAACUGAAAAGUUGGUGGUUCGAACCCACC
rnacentral:tRNA from 1 species